GAACUAGAUCGAAUAAGUUUUCUGUCACUGCAUGGUACAUAUGCAGUUUAUAAUAAUGUAGUAUGCAGUAAUUUUUUUAACAAUGGCUGCAGACUUGGACAAACAUGACAAAGCUUAGUUUUAUUAUUUAUAAUUUGUACUUUCAAACAGUAACUUGUCACUUUUAGCAUUACCAGGGAAAGAUUUUAGGAUGAGGCCUAACUGGUGUGUCUGGCAAACAUACUCCCCAAAUAUAAUGAAGAGAAUGAUAAAACUACUAACAUCUACCCUAAUAAUGUUAAUGUUAGCAGCUGGUUAUUACUGUAGUUAGCAGGACAUGCUAACAUUUGCAGCUUAUAUUAGAGCAGAUAAGUAGCAAAACUUUGUAUGCAGCUUUGUAUUCUUACCAUAGGCAACAUCUAUGUUUAGUCAGAACUAAGUUGUAAAAGCUUUAAAGUGCAUUUUCCAUGUGGGUGCACAUUGUAUGUCUAAGUUCACAUGUAGACUGAUUAUAAAACAUAACACUAUGUUAGAAAGCAAAUCAUGGACAUUAAAAUGAAACAUGAAUGACAUAUCAGAUGCCAAUGUGUCCCAAGUGAUGAUGAUACUGACGUGUUGAAGUUACCAGUUCAACCAACAGACCGCCUGACUCACCCCUUCCUCGGAUCACCAGUAGGCCUCUAGUGACAGAGCCCUGCAGUUUAUUCACAUGCAGUGAAGAGAGUGGUCUAUUCAUCACGCCAGACCCCUGAGCUGAGCAGCCACACAAACCACCUCCCGACAGAGCUCUGCCUACGGACACAAGAAGGUGUGCAUUAGGUUUUGCAGAUGUUUAAGUUUUUAAAGGACACAAAAACUCCAUCAGCGGCGGAAAAGAAGCUGAGUGUUUCCCUGAGAUUCCUGAGUCAUUAAAACACACCAGAGCCCUUACCAGGAGGGGAACAUGGAAGAAGGAAUCAAACCACACUGUGACCCCUUGGCUAAGGAUUUUCAAAAUAAAAUUUGUGAUAUCCUGACACACACACAUACACAAUUGUUGCAAGGUUAUGAUGCAGAAAUCCUUCUAUUGAACAUUUUCUCUUAUGUAACAACAAUAUGAACAUACUGUACACAUUUCUGUGUGUUUUGGAGAGAUCAGCCACCCUCACUUCCCUGCAGGACCAAUAAUAGCUCACAGCUGACACACAUCUGUCUUUCUUUGUCUUACAACACAUGUACUGUUCUUCAGUGAGGUCUCUGAUCCUGAUUUAAAUAUACACUUAUAAUAUAUUUUGAACUGAUGUCUGGCUGUCCAGUUCACCUGCAGUUUUGAGGCAUGAUUGGCUUCCAACUGUGUCCACAAAUAAACUCUUUCAAUGACUCUCUGAAUUAAUGUCUCAUUAAUAUCUGAACCAAACUUCAAGGCAGACCAUCCAAUAGUUGCUGAGAGAUUUCAAAAAACAAAUGCCAAUGUCAUGGUGGUGCAAAAGGACAAGUCAGGGGAAAAUCACCAAAAUCAUAAGGAUUCAUCCAUCCAAUAUUAACUGUUAUAUAAAUUGUAAGACUUUGGACACUGAGGUAGCCAUGUUUCCAUCUAAUGUCAAGUGAACUGUAAGCAAAGUUUUGAAAUGUCAUAUAAAAGAAAAAAAAAAGAAAAUACGAAUUAGGCGCCUUUCCAUCAACUGGUUUGGAGCGAAUAAAGUAGGCUACGCAAAGCGUAGUUUUAUCAGAAGUUGGCGGUAUAGGCUACGUCACACAUGGCUUUAAUAAACAGAGUGAACUGGAAACAAGCCAUGGCCAUCUACAAGACAAAAAUAAAGAGAGGUCUUCAGAAAUUUGUUUCAGUUGGGCAAGUUGUAAUUGUUCUUUCAUGUCAACUAGUAUUGGCCAUGUUACAUAUCUGCUGUUGUUACUACUAUGCAAUAUGGGAAUAUCCAGGACAACACUGACAAUGGAAACAGCUGAUGAGUCAUGUGAGUUAAAUGUUCGGUACGUCAGAACUUAUUCGGAAAAGGUGUUUUUAUCUCUCAUUUAGUGCAUUAAAUCUUUUUCGAAAAAGGAAAAAACCACCUCAAGCAAGCGUAAAAACUUUUUUGCAAACUUGAGGAAGUUUUUUUUAAAUUUUGCUGUUUCCAUCAACCUUUUCUAUUGCAAUACUUCAAAAUGGCAUAAAAAUACAGUGAUGGAAACAUGACUAGUGUGAGUGUCUUGAGCUCAGCUUCCUGCCUCUGCCAGUUACCUAUUUUCACAUCUAGCUGCACACUUACUCCCCAUCAGUCAUUCUACCUCAGUAUAUAAAGGUGAAUUUACACAGCAUCUGACAUGAAAAACGAAGUUACUGUGUGUGUAAGAAAAGUCAGAACUAAAUGAAAUCAUUAAAAAUGAAUUUUACCUCAAUUUUUAGUAACUAUGGGCAUUUAUAUACAUUUGCAAGGGAAUUUUGCAAGUUGAAACUCAUAAUAACAAUAACUCCGAUAUGAUAUAAAAGCUGUGUUCACCCUUUGGCCAUGAUAAGUUUAAAGAGCAGUAAAACAAGUCAGUCAUUAGGAUUUAUUGUCUCACUCUGUUACAAAGUGUUGGACUGACUGGCUGACAGAUGUUAGCAAGCCUAGAUUGACACAGAUUGGCUGAACCUGACUUCUGGCCCCUGUCCUAACAGUAUCAGUACUGGAAGGUAAAAGACAACAGGAUGACAGUAAUCUCUCAACAAAUGCUAACUAAUCCACUACCCCAGAAGAAGCUAGUAAUCACUUUAGAGAAUCCCUAGUGACACAUAUAGAUUGCAUAAUGGAUUAGUUUAAACUCCAUCUGUUAACUCCUUUUACAUGAUUCAGUUACACAAUAGAGAUUUGAAGAAGUUGACAGUGAUUCAAUGGGAAAAGCUUAUACAUA